UACGGAGGGUGCGAGCGUUGUCCGGAAUUAUUGGGCUUAAAGGGUGCGCAGGCGGUUUUAUAAGUCGAGGCUGAAAUUUCUGGGCUCAACCGAGAGAGUGGCUUCGAUACUGUAUAACUAGAGUACUAAUGAGGUGGGCGGAAUUUGUGAUGUAGCGGUGAAAUGCAUAGAUAUCACAAGGAAGGCCGAAAGCGAAGGCAGCUCACUAAUUAGUUACUGACGCUCAAGCACGAAAGCGUGGGUAGCGAACAGG
rnacentral:rRNA from 1 species